UAACCCGCACCACUUAUCGUGGUGGGAGACAGUGUCAGGCGGGCAGUUUGACUGGGGCGGUCGCCUCCUAAAAGGGAACGGAGGCGCUCAAAGGGUCCCUCAGAAUGGUUGGAAAUCAUUCAUAGAGGGUAAAGGCAUAAGGGAGCUUGACUGCGAGACCUACAAGUCGAGCAGGGUCGAAAGACGGACUUAGUGAUCCGGUGGUUCCGCAUGGAAGGGCCA
rnacentral:rRNA from 1 species